rnacentral:rRNA from 1 species
UACGAAGGGGGCUAGCGUUGUUCGGAAUCACUGGGCGUAAAGCGCACGUAGGCGGAUCUUUAAGUCAGGGGUGAAAUCCCGGGGCUCAACCCCGGAACUGCCUUUGAUACUGGGGAUCUCGAGUCCGGGAGAGGUGAGUGGAACUGCGAGUGUAGAGGUGAAAUUCGUAGAUAUUCGCAAGAACACCAGUGGCGAAGGCGGCUCACUGGCCCGGAACUGACGCUGAGGUG